rnacentral:rRNA from 1 species
CAGUAGCCGCGGUAAUACGUAGGUGGCAAGCGUUGUCCGGAAUUAUUGGGCGUAAAGGGCGCGUAGGCGGACAGUUCAGUCGGGGGUGAAAGCCCGGGGCUCAACCUCGGAAUUGCCUUCGAUACUGGCUGUCUUGAGUAUGAGAGAGGUGUGUGGAACUCCGAGUGUAGAGGUGAAAUUCGUAGAUAUUCGGAAGAACACCAGUGGCGAAGGCGACACACUGGCUCAUUACUGACGCUGAGGCGCGAAAGCGUGGGGAGCAAACAGGAUUAGAUACCCCAGUAGUCCCUGUCUCUUAUAC